rnacentral:rRNA from 1 species
CGUCUCAGUUCGGAUUGCAGGCUGCAACUCGCCUGCAUGAAGCUGGAAUUGCUAGUAAUCGUGGAUCAGCAUGCCACGGUGAAUACGUUCCCGGGCCUUGUACACACCGCCCGUCACACCAUGAGAGUCGGGAACACCCGAAGUCCGUAGUCUAACCGCAAGGAGGGCGCGGCCGAAGGUGGGUCUGAUAAUUGGGGUGAAGUCGUAACAAGGUACC